UCAGUGCUAAACAGAAACGCUCCCGUGACCUACCCUGUAGUUCCGGGCUUUUGUUUAUAGUGCAUACGAAUGCCAUUGUCAAUUAUCAGAAGCUCGUCUCUACAGGUAUCUCACAGGGUAGAAAGAAACAACUCAAACUCA
rnacentral:pre_miRNA from 15 species